UAGGGAAUCUUUCGCAAUGGACGCAAGUCUGACGGAGCAACGCCGCGUGAGUGAAGAAGGAUUUCGGUUCGUAAAACUCUGUUGUUAGAGAAGAACAGCGCAUAGAGUAACUGUUAUGCGUGUGACGGUAUCUAACCAGAAAGCCACGGCUAACUACGUGCCAGCAGCCGCGGUAAUACGUAGGUGGCAAGCGUUGUCCGGAUUUAUUGGGCGUAAAGCGAGCGCAGGCGGUCAAUUAAGUCUGAUGUGAAAGCCCCCGGCUCAACCGGGGAGGGUCAUUGGAAACUGGUGGACUUGAGUGCAGAAGAGGAGAGUGAAAUUCCAUGUGUAGCGGUAAAAUGCGUAGAUAUAUGGAGGAACACCAGUGGCGAAGGCGACUCUCUGGUCUGUAACUGACGCUGAGGCUCGAAAGCGUGGGUAGAAAACAGG
rnacentral:rRNA from 1 species